AUACGUAGGGGGCGAGCGUUGUCCGGAUUUACUGGGCGUAAAGGGUGAGUAGGCGGUUAUGUGUGUCAGGUGUAAAAGGCGUAGGCUUAACUUACGUUAGCACUUGAAACUGCAUGACUUGAGUGCAGGAGAGGUAAGUGGAAUUCCUAGUGUAGCGGUGAAAUGCGUAGAGAUUAGGAAGAACACCAGUGGCGAAGGCGAUUCUCUGGACUGUAACUGACGCUGAGGCUCGAAAGCGUGGGGAGC
rnacentral:rRNA from 1 species